AGUUUUUACAAAUUUUCCCCAUUAUUUUCCCGGUUCUUAAUUUAUACUUUUGUUAACAAGUGGUUGACUUUGUAUUUACAUUUAAAAACACCGAAACAUUGUCACUUUUCGUUUGGUGCAUUAAGGAAACGUUUCAAUGAUAUUUUUCACAUUUUAAUGAUGUUCAGUCUCUCCGAUAGGCACCUCUUCUUUCUCCCACCAUUUUUUCCCCUAAUUUAAAUGGUUAAUUUGACAUGCUUACUAUUUUUUUUAAUCUCUGUUUUCUGUUAUUAAUUGUUGUGUUUGAUUUUAGGGACACAACUUCAAAGCAUAAAAACCUAGAACUAUCUGAAAACCAAAACUGCAAGUUGUUUUUUAUUUUCAUUUUACUUUCUGCUUCCAAUUUGUGUUCUGUGUUUUCUUUAUUUCAUAUAUUUCUUUCUUUUUUGGCUUUCACUUUUCAGGAAACAGAGGUUUCUUCUCAUGAAACCUUGCAGCAAGUUGUUCUCCCAGGUCCAACACAGAUUCUGAUGUGUACCUCUCAUUUCUUUCAAGAAUUUGUUUGCUCAAGUGGUUGACAACUUUCAUUGUGAUUUGAUGGUUGGGUUUUGUACAUGAAAGCUUCUUAGAGAGCAACUUGGCUAUUGUUGGUGGCAGUGUACAGUUAAUUUGGAAGGAUUGUCAAGAGUUGGUCUAAAAUUUCCCACAGCCAAGGUGGGAUGCAAAAUUGGGUGUGGAUACAUAGCUUGAGGUAAUUCACAGUGAAAGCUCCUACCUAUGCCUUGGAAUUUUUUUAAGAGCAUGCUCUGUAAGUACUUUUAUUCUGUUUUGAGAUGAUUAAAGCUUUAUCAUAAUUAUCUCAUUGGAAUUUUGGCAUGGUUAAAAAAGGGGCAGCAAGGUAUAUAAAUGUGCACAUGCAUAAAUAUUUGUAUGUAUCAGUCCUGCCAAUUUGUAGUAAAGAAUUAUUAUCUUCAACUUUAAGAUUUAAAAUAUAUAUAUUGUUUCUUUAGCCAAUCUGAUUAUUUUGGUUUUGAUGUAAUAAUAUUAUUCUUAUUUUUCUUUUUGGAAGGCAUAACAAAUUGAAGAUAUACUGUAUGAUAGUAGGUCUAAAACAAAACUAAAAAAUUAAACUAAAAUCAAAGUAGAAAUCAUAUAUAUAUAUAUAUAUAUUGUUUUGCUUUCAAAGUUGGCGAAAUUAAUAAUGUCUAUCAUGUGUUGGAUGGAAUUCAUGAUAUAUGUAAUGGUUAGUGGAACUCAUUUGCUAUUUCAUAUAUCAAUGUUUAGUAUUUUUAAAAUAGGCAAAUACUUCCAUUCUUCAUAUUUUUAUAAUUGUUCUUGAUGCCUACAACGUCCCAUUAAAGAUUAUGCCACUUAGUUUAGUGUUUUGAAGUGCAUUGUUUUCCCAUAACGUUGUACUGUAACAAGAAUAAUUCAAGACGUUGGUUAUUGUGUCUUCUAUAUCACAGAGGUGUAACAAUGUAUAUUUUCUUUAUUUGUAAGCAGUCAAUUUACGUAUUUGCAAGAAAAUUUAGUAAGGACAAGUGAAAUGAUUUGUUGGUGGUAAUGUAGUUGAGAAGAUUUUGGAUUCAAAAGUCAACCUUUGUUUUUUUAAAUGUGAGCUAAUGUAAUUUUUUUUAUUCAAGGUUUUCUUAUAUAUUGUUCAAUAUACAUUUGGCAGUCAAAACAGAUUCAUUUCGAAUUGAAUAAAUUUUUUAUUUCAGUUGUUUUCAAUAACUGAAAUUUAGUUUGCUUUUGGACGAAUUCUGUCAGUUCAUCAGCAAUAAAAUAGUGCAGAAAACCGGGGUACAAUGCACAAUUAACCACUACAGGAAGAUAUUUUUAGUAGUUGGGAGCUGUCGGAGUGGGUGCCGUUAUAGAAAUUCAGUGUUUCUCCCAAUGAUUGCUAUGCAAAAAAAAGACAAUUUGAAAAUCCUCUAGAAGUUGAACUGGUAGCUGUUUUGCAUUGCUAGAAUUUUGCUCAUGAAGAACAGAAAAAGGCUUAUAUUUUAGAAGGUUAUUUUGGUAUUUUUGCUUUGGUAUAUGAAUGAAAAUAAUUAAUUAUUUACUGAGUUUUGCUUUUGUUUUUUUUUUUUUUUUAAUAAAUAUUCUGGAGUAUUUAAUAAAACCCAAUUUUUGGAUAUGUAAAUCCAAGUGCUAUUUGAGAAGAAUAGAAAGUAGUUCGUAGUGAAAUUUUUUUUUGAUGUUGUUUGUGCAGAAAUGGAAGUGUUUUUCUUUCAAAGUUCUUUUUGAUAAGUAAUUAAAGUAGAAUUAAUAGUCUAUCUAAAGUGAAGGAAAUGUCUAUACUUGGUGCCCGUUUGGGUAGAGCUGAAACUUGCGUUUCAGCUCUACGUUUUCCUACUUUUUUUUUUUUUUUUUCCUCUGCACGUGAACAGUAAAAGUACUGUGCAGAGGACAAAAAAUACUGUUCACGCACUGUUUACGCACUGUUCACGCACUAUUUAUGGGUCCCACGACACAAUAAGCUCAAUCCAAACGGACCUUUGGUGUAAAGAAGAAAUUUACCUCUAUUCUCUAAUAGUCUGAUGUAAAAAGUUAAGAAAACAAAAAAUAUACAAAUUGCUUGAUGCGUUUAAAUUUUUUAAAGAUGAGAUUUUAGAUGCAAUUCCUCUAGCAUGUAUGUGCUUCAACUUUGGACAUCGGUUUAGUAUAAUUUUCUAAAGAACCACUUGAAUUACAACUUAUCAAAAAAUAAAACCAUUUGAAUUACAAGAACUAUGUGCUU